rnacentral:rRNA from 1 species
GCUUAACCGAAGAAGUGCAUCGGAAACUGGGUGACUUGAGUGCAGAAGAGGACAGUGGAGCUCCAUGUGUAGCGGUGGAAUGCGUAGAUAUAUGGAAGAACACCAGUGGCGAAGGCGGCUGUCUGGUCUGCAACUGACGCUGAGGCUCGAAAGCAUGGGUAGCGAACAGGAUUAGAUACCCUGGUAGUCCAUGCCGUAAACGAUGAGUGCUAGGUGUUGGAGGGUUUCCGCCCUUCAGUGCCGGAGCUAACGCAUUAAGCACUCCGCCUGGGGAGUACGACCGCAAGGUUGAAACUCAAAGGAAUUGACGGGGGCCCGCACAAGCGGUGGAGCAUGUGGUUUAAUUCGAAGCUACGCGAAGAACCUUACCAGGUCUUGACAUCUUGCGCUAACCUAAGAGAUUAGGCGUUCCCUUCGGGGACGCAAUGACAGGUGGUGCAUGGUCGUCGUCAGCUCGUGUCGUGAGAUGUUGGGUUAAGUCCCGCAACGAGCGCAACCCUUGUUACUAGUUGCCAGCAUUCAGUUGGGCACUCUAGUGAGACUGCCGGUGUCAAACCGGAGGAAGGUGGGGAUGACGUCAGAUCAUCAUGCCCCUUAUGACCUGGGCUACACACGUGCUACAAUGGUCGGUACAACG